rnacentral:misc_RNA from 1 species
AGGAAAGCUCAAGCGAGUUUGCUUGGACUUGGAGGAAGAGCUGUCGCCCUUCGGGGUGGGUUCCCCUCUGAAAUUCAAUGGCGGAUGGUCCGUGCGGACACCGACGUAGUAGGAGCGAUCUCUCGUCGCGUCUCUGGAUCGUCCUGCCCUCAAUCCCCAACAGAGUAAUAAU